rnacentral:rRNA from 1 species
AAAAAUUUUUAAUUAAAAAUUUUUUUUAAUAUAAAUUAAUUUAGUGCCAGCAAUUGCGGUUAUUCUAAAUAUAUAAUUAAAUAUUAUCAAUUUUAGUUAUAUUAAUUUUAAUUUAAAUAAAAAUUUUUUAUUAAAAAUAAAAAUAAUUAUUUUUAGGUAAAAUUUUAAAUUUUAUUUUAUUUUUUAUUUAAUUUUAUUAAUUUAUAAUCUAAAAAAAUUUUUUUAAAAACUAGGAUUAGAUACCCUAUUAUUAAAUUAUUAAAAAUAAAAUUAUUAAAAAUUAAAGUAGUAUAAAUUUAUAAAGUUAAAACUUAAAGAAUUUGGCGGUAUUUUAGUCUUUUCAGAGGAACUUGUUUUAUAAUUGAUAAUCCACAUUAAACCUUACUUAAAGUUAUAUUAAUUUGUAUAUCAUUGUCAUUAGAAUAUUUUUUUAAAAUAAAAAUUUUCAAAAUUUAAUUUUGUUAAUUUUUAAAAAAUGUCAAAUCAAGAUGCAGUUUAUUUUUAAGUUAAAAUGAGUUACAAUAAUAAAAAAUUUUAGAUUAUUAAUUGAAAAUAUAUUAAUAAAAAAAUGGAUUUGAAAGUAAAUAUUUAUUAUAAAUAAAAAUUUUUUGAUUUAAGCUCUAAAAUAUGUACAUAUCGCCCGUCGCUCUUGUUUUAUUAAAUUAGAUAAGUCGUAACAAAGUAGAUAUACUGGAAAGUGUUUCUAGAAAUAU